rnacentral:ncRNA from 1 species
UCUACGGAGAGUUUGAUUCUGGCUCAGAACGAACGCUGGCGGCGUGGAUAAGACAUGCAAGUCGAACGGAGAUCUUGAAUAGCUUGCUAAUUGAGAUCUUAGUGGCGGACGGGUUAGUAACACGUGAGAACCUACCCUUUAGACAGGAAUAGCCCAUGGAAACGUGGAUUAAUGCCUGAUAGUCUCUACGGAGUAAAUGGUGCCUUCUGGUAUCGCUAGAGGAUGGGCUCGCGGCCUAUCAGCUUGUUGGUGAGGUAAAGGCUCACCAAGGCGACGACGGGUAGCUGGUCUGAGAGGACGAUCAGCAACACUGGAACUGAGACACGGUCCAGACACCUACGGGU